AUUGAACGCUGGCGGCAGGCCUAACACAUGCAAGUCGAACGGUAACAGGAAGAAGCUUGCUUCUUUGCUGACGAGCGGCGGACGGGUGAGUAAUGUCUGGGAAACUGCCUGAUGGAGGGGGAUAACUACUGGAAACGGUAGCUAAUACCGCAUAACGUCGCAAGACCAAAGAGGGGGACCUUCGGGCCUCUUGCCAUCGGAUGUGCCCAGAUGGGAUUUGCUAGUAGGUGGGGUAACGGCUCACCUAGGCGACGAUCCCUAGCUGGUCUGAGAGGAUGACCAGCCACACUGGAACUGAGACACGGUCCAGACUCCUACGGGAGGCAGCAGUGGGGAAUAUUGCACAAUGGGCGCAAGCCUGAUGCAGCCAUGCCGCGUGUAUGAAGAAGGCCUUCGGGUUGUAAAGUACUUUCAGCGGGGAGGAAGGGAGUAAAGUUAAUACCUUUGCUCAUUGACGUUACCCGCAGAAGAAGCACCGGCUAACUCCGUG
rnacentral:rRNA from 1 species